GAUGAACGCUGGCGGCGUGCCUAAUACAUGCAAGUCGAACGCACCGUUUAUAUCGCCGCUUGCUACCACAUACACAGUGAGUUGCGAAUGGGUGAGUAACGCGUAGGUAACCUGCCUGGUAGCGGGGGAUAACUGUUGGAAACGAUAGCUAAGAGCGCAUAAUAUUGAAUAUUGCAUGCUACAUGAUAGCAAGAUGCUAUUGCAUCACUCUACGAUGGACCCGCGUUGUAUUAGCUAAUAGGCGAGGUAAUGGCUCACCUAGGUUGCGAUACAUAGCCGGCCUUGGGAGGUUGUCGGCCACACUUGGGCUGAGACACCGCCCAGACUCCUUCGGGAGGCAGCAGUAAGGGAUCCUCGGAAAUGGACGAAAGUCUUACCGGGCAACGGCGCGUGAGGGGAGAAGGGUUUCGGAUCGGAAAGCCCUGUUGUUAAGGAAGGACGGUGGUGGGAGUGGAAAGUUCACACUGUGACGGUAUCUUACCAGAAAGGGACGGCUAACUACGUG
rnacentral:rRNA from 1 species